AGAGUUUGAUCAUGGCUCAGAUUGAACGCUGGCGGCAGGCUUAACACAUGCAAGUCGAGCGGUAACAUUUCUAGCUUGCUAGAAGAUGACGAGCGGCGGACGGGUGAGUAAUACUUAGGAAUCUACCUAGUAGUGGGGGAUAGCUCGGGGAAACUCGAAUUAAUACCGCAUACGACCUACGGGAGAAAGGGGGCAACUUGUUGCUCUCGCUAUUAGAUGAGCCUAAGUCGGAUUAGCUAGAUGGUGGGGUAAAGGCCUACCAUGGCGACGAUCUGUAGCUGGUCUGAGAGGAUGAUCAGCCACACCGGGACUGAGACACGGCCCGGACUCCUACGGGAGGCAGCAGUGGGGAAUAUUGGACAAUGGGGGCAACCCUGAUCCAGCCAUGCCGCGUGUGUGAAGAAGGCCUUUUGGUUGUAAAGCACUUUAAGCAGUGAAGAAGACUCCAUGGUUAAUACCCAUGGACGAUGACAUUAGCUGCAGAAUAAGCACCGGCUAACUCUGUGCCAGCAGCCGCGGUAAU
rnacentral:rRNA from 1 species